rnacentral:lncRNA from 1 species
GUACACGUAGGAUUUUAAUGAAAAAAAACAGUCCAAAAUAACCAGCCCGAAAAAGGCAGGGAUAAAUAUUCCAAUAAAGGAAGACUAACACAGUCUUAGAAAUAUAUUGAGACGCAACCCUAACGUCCAAACGCUGAAUAUAUAUGUACACAUGGACAGAAGAAAAUUCCCCAACCUACAAUAGAUGACCCCGCAAAACAAGAAACAGACAAACUAAAUACCCUCCCACUAAUUACAAACACGAAACAGGUGCGCACAAACAGACAUAAACUAACAGACACAUGAAACAUGGAUCGGUGGCAGCUAGUAGGCCGGUGACGACGACCGCAGAGCCCCGCUCGACGGGGGAGCAGCGCCACCUUCUGUGGACGUUGUGACAGUAUCUGUCCAAGUACCAAGUACUGUCCACUCUGGGAUUCCUCGCUACUGGGACAUUCCAGAGGGAAAUGAGUGACAGGUAUAUCACAGCCAUCAUUCAGCCGCAUCCUGCCAUAAGUGAUUCGAGGCGAUUCUACACGUAUUGUCCAUGAGAUUGACAUUAGUUCCCCCAUUUACAGCCGACGAACGCUCUCAUUUAAUUUCCCAGGGGGUCAUAGGUGCAGUUGACUGCGCGCAUAUUGCCUUACGCUCACCGUCUGUAGAUGAACGUGUAGGUGUUAAACGGGAAUAAUUUCCAUUCAUUGAAUGUUCAGAUCUGCGAUGCCUGUAUGCAACUACUCAAUGUGGCCAGGGUCUACGAACAAAUCAUACAUUCUACGCCACAGCUGAGUAGGUCUGCGUCUAGAAGCUGGUGGCUUCUCGUGAGUAAUUGGGUUUUUUCUCCUCCAGUGUAUAAUAGCCUAUUAACCGUGUUAGGGUUGAACUGGCUAUUUGUAUGCAUAACUUAUAUAAUAUACCGGGGAAGCUAUGCUACAAUAUUAAGUAUAUAAACUACGAGUAAAUCAACUUUUGAAGACAAGAAGAACUACAACCGGCAACAGGAAGUGCGUCACGACGCUGGGAUCAGCCUGCACGCCGACGACAGGAGGAGCAAGUUUAAACCACGCUCCUCCUCCCUCGGACAGACCAGCAUUGAGCGGGAAAUAUCUCUGUCAGAGAAUAAAAGAGAGAACAAAGGAGGUGUCGUUCUCUUCUCUGUUUUGCCCUGCGAGGUGACCGGGGCUAUCCACUGAAAACGUGGCUUCUCACUCCCCUUUUCCGAUCCCCAAACAGGAAAUGACGCUACAAUUUGGCUCUCGGCAGAACAAAGGUCGGUUGUGGACUGCUGAACUCCUCUACAAGCCACAGAAGAUAAUUUAAGUUUUGUAUUUUUUAUUAAAUGAAGUUUAGUUUUUUUUUUUAAUUGGUCAACUUGCAAAAUAUACCAACAUUUUAUAUUUAGUAUUGUAUUGAAAUUGCACACCCAAAGGUUCUGGCCAAAAUAGCUGAAAAACAGUUUUUAACUUGUCCCUAUGGUUACUGAAACUGUGAGCAUCAGAGGUGAACCGGUUGCAUACACGGCUCGAGCAAGACCUUCAUCAGCAUUUCUCUGUGUCAGGAAUCCCGCUUCCUGAGUCUGUUUCUGCCUGAGCUGUUUUUUGUUGUUGUUUGGAGUGUUGUCUAAGGUUCCUUGAACGCACCCGGUCUGGUUGCCAGGCAACGAAGUUAGGCGGGAGAUCUAGUAAUUACCCGCACCUGCAUCUCAUCAACCUUCUGCACACCUGGUCUUGAUCAUCACCUCUUCUUAAACCCUGAGCUGACAUCCAUGACCCUGCCGGAUCGUUAGCAACGAACGCACUGAGGAGCCUGACGGGCCAGACGGAUUACCAGGACGUGGACCAACUGGCAAGUGUCUUCACUGACAUGUUCAACCUCUCCCUGUCUGAGUCUGUAAUACCAACAUGUUUCAAGCAGACCACUAUAGUCCCUGGGCCCAAGAACACGAAGAUCCACAGAUGAUGCAAUCUCCAUUGCACUCCACACUGCCCUUUCACACCUGGACUAGAGGAACACCUAUGUGAGAAAGCUAUUCAUUGACUACAGCUCAGCGUUCAACACCAUAGUACCCUCAAAGCUCAUCACUAAGCUAAGGACCCUGGGACUAAACACCUCCCUCUGCAACUGGAUCCUGGACUUCCUGACGGGCCGCCCCCAGGUGGUGAGGGUAGGUAACAACACAUCCGCCAUGCUGAUCUUCAAC